rnacentral:lncRNA from 10 species
GUAAUGCACUUGGGCCCAUGGCAACCCAGUUACCAUUCCAGCGGAAUGUGGACUUGAUUGACAGACUCUGUAGGCAAGAUAUAACCUUUACACUAAUAUGAUAUGUUUAAUUUCAGACAGUGAUAGAAACAUAAGCUGGCAAAAGAGGACAAACUUAAAAAGGAAUCACAAAAACAACUCCUUGGAGCUAUGAUCCAUUCCAUAAUUACUGUCUUAAUAUCCAAAAUGACAAACUUGUUGAGACCACCACUGUUCCAAGUCCCGAAUCUGAACUGGUUAGAAACUGAUGACAAUUAUCAUUUCUACAAAAUCAAUCUCUUCAUUGGAAAAAGAAGUAGGUAAUUGUAAUAUACAUUUUCUUAAUGCUCCAAAGAGUCAUUAGAUAGCAUCCUCCCCCUUAAUAAAAUAAAAAUGAAUGUGAUAAAUUUUAUUCUGCUUUCAUAGGAGAGCCCAGUAUAAAUAAUAGCACACACUCCUUGGCUAACUUCAGUUAAUCUCUUUCUAAACUUCUAAAUGAUAUGAACAUUGAUAUUAUUAUUAAUAUUGAUUAAUGUUAAUUAUGAGCUAUCACUUUAUAAAGCUCUCAACCAAAACCACCCUGAAAAACAGCACAGUUUCUUAAUUCUGACUCCUCACAGAAUGGCAUCCCAAAAACACUCAGGGACAUCCCCAGCUAUGGAAAGGUACUGCAUGGCUUUAGUGACUUUGAAAUGGAAAAGAUAUGGACAGAGCCCUGGAAGGCUAUACCAGACUGGUCCUAUGUCCUUUGGGGGGAUUUGGAGUAUCUUUUCUAACAACCUUGGGGCUAAGUGCUCUUGCGAGUGAUGCCAGAAGGCAAACACAUGAAAGAAAGAAUUGCCUGUACGUCCUGUCACCACAAAAAACCAUUUAUAAAAGCCAAAAAUUUAAGCUGCCUGUAAUCUCAUCUCACAAGAGAUGAGCUAAGGGCAAAAGCUCUCUUUAUUCCAUUCUCUGAAGAAAGAUAUCAUUAAUCUCCCCAUUAAUGACUUCAGUAAAAUGAUGUCAGAGGAGCAAUUCAAUAAUGUCUCAAUUUGCAUUAAUUUGAGAUAUAUAUAUAUAUAAAUAUAUAUGUUUAUAUAGGAGGGGUAAAAAUAAAAUGGCUUCUUAGAAUUGUCAGAAAAGAAAUACUAGAAAAUACAGUAGAACUAGAGCAAGAUCUGAAUCAUCUCCAAGAUGAAUUAAAAAAUUAUUCAGAGGUCAGGUGCAGUGGCUCAUGCCUAAAAAAAGGGAAAAACAUUUGUGUCCUUAAACCUUAAAUCUUUAGGCCUUUGGUACAUGGUGAAAAUGGAAGGCUUUAUUCUCCUAAUUAGUGCUCCCUACAGCAAAUCAGAGACGACUGUAUCAUUUGUUCAUUAAAGUAAGAAGCCAGACAGACAGUAA